rnacentral:rRNA from 1 species
AGAGUUUGAUCAUGGCUCAGGAUGAACGCUGGCGGUCUGCUUAACACAUGCAAGUCGAACGGAAUCUUUCGGGAUUUAGUGGCGGACGGGUGAGUAACGCGUGAGAAUCUGCCUUCAGGUUCGGGACAACAGUUGGAAACGGCUGCUAAUACCGGAUGUGCCGAGAGGUGAAAGCUUAAGUGCCUGGAGAUGAGCUCGCGUCUGAUUAGCUAGUAGGAGUGGUAACGGCACCCCUAGGCGACGAUCAGUAGCUGGUCUGAGAGGAUGAUCAGCCACACUGGGACUGAGACACGGCCCAGACUCCUACGGGAGGCAGCAGUGGGGAAUUUUCCGCAAUGGGCGCAAGCCUGACGGAGCAAGACCGCGUGAGGGAAGAAGGUCUGUGGAUUGUAAACCUCUUUUGAUCGGGAAGAAGACAGUGACGGUACCGAUCGAAUCAGCUCGAUGGCUC